AGCAGCACAGCCCUGACACCAGCGCGAGGCCUGCCAAGCUGCAGGUCGGAAACCCACAGCUGUAGCCCAAACUUUCCAACGGGGGAGGAAUUGGAAUACCGCGGUCCGGGGGAGUUUCAGGCGGGGGUGACCGCGCGGCGGCGGGGCAGCCGGGGAGGCGGGCGCCGGGGCUGGGGGGCGCUGACGGGGUGCGGCAGCCGCAGCCGCUGGCGGGUGCCCAGAGGGCCGCUCACACGCUUGCUCGCCUGCCGCCACCGGCCAUGCGGGGCUUUCAGCGGGUGUCAGGGCUGCUGGCGUCGGCCCUGCGGAGCCAGCGGGUGCCGCGGGCACGGGUGACCUCCAAGCCCCCCGAGGAGCCGCUCUCUGCCGUGGAGCAAGCCAUCGCGCUUUCUGUGAUGUUUUCAUGCUUCCUGCUUCCAACCGCCUGGAUCCUGGCACACCUGGAACACUACAAGAGCAGAUCAGAGUAAGAAAUGGCAAGAGGAACAUAGAGCCAGUUGAGAGCAGAAGUAUGAAGACAAGACUACAGAACAGAUCUUUCCCUGGGGAAGAACUCUUUGAGUUUGUUCAUUAAAAUAGCAUUAAACAUAA